CCUACGGGUGGCAGCAGUGGGGAAUAUUGGGCAAUGGGCGCAAGCCGGACCCAGCAACGCCGCGUGAAGGAAGAAGGCAGUCGGGGGGUAAACGUCUGUUCUCAGGGACGAAGCAAGUGACGGUACCUGAGGAAUAAGCCACGGCUAACUACGGGCCAGCAGCCGCGGUAAUACGUAGGGGGCAAGCGUUAUCCGGAUUUACUGGGUGUAAAGGGCGUGUAGGCGGGAAAGCAAGUCAGAUGUGAAAACCCUGGGCUCAACCUGUUGCCUGCAUUUGAAACUGUUUUUCUUGAGUACUGGUGAGGCAGACGGAAUUCCUGGUGUAGCGGUGAACUGCGUAGAUCUUAGGAGGAACACCAGUGGCGAAGGCGGUCUGCUGGACAGCAACUGACGCUGAGGCGCGAAAGCGUGGGGAGCAAACAGGAUUCGAUCCCCUAGUAGUC
rnacentral:rRNA from 1 species